CCCCCCCCCCCCCCCCCCCCCCGGCCCCGACUCCCUGCACCUCCUGAUCCAGGUGUCCGUAGAGGCCAGGACGGAACCUUCGUGGUCGCGCGGCUCCCCCUCCUCCUCCUCCCCGGCCCAAGGGCCACUUACAGGCAACGCGGGGGAGGCGACUGGCGCUCCCCUUCCCAUAAAACGUCCUCCAUGUGCCCGAGAUGUGCACAGCAGGGAACAAGUGUGCCUCGAAUGGGGCCUUAAGUCGGUCUGAUUUUAGGACAAUGGGGACAUUUACACAGACCUCCUCCCAGUGAGUCAAGUGCCAGGUGAGGGGAAGCCAAGGAGCCAUCCCGAGAACUGAGCUCCGGGGAAGAGGCGACAGGAUGGACACACGCACGGAAACCUGGUAACAGCCCGGGCGAUGCAGGAUCCGUAGGGAAGAGGCAGGAAACCUGCGGGGCCUGGGGAGCAAAGGGCUUGGGAGUUACCCCGCUGCAGCCAGAGAAGGCCUCCUGCAGACUCGGGCCCAACUCCACCUACAGAAGUGUUUUCCAAGUAAUCUCUCCCGUAAUAACAUCCUGUAUCUUAUUUUGAGUUCUAGAAUCCCACCGUGGCUUGGCAGUGAGCUUUAAGCCUAGCCACCCCAAGUCUCCUAUGUCCUCAGUAUUGAGAAAAAAGUCUCCAUGCUGAAUAUGCUUUUUAUUCAGUUUUUUUUGAAAAGUUAAUGAAUUCAGGGGAAUGAAGAUAGAUGUUAGAAAUAAAACCAUGGGUAUCUCUAAGAAAAUCAUCAAAUGUAAAUGAUUCCUUCUUUGUCGGGUCUUAUAAAAAUAGGGGAUACUUAAGCACACUGAAGUUUUAAAGUCACUGGAUUAUAUUGUACAAAGGUAUUUUUGGCCCUUUAAAAGGUUAUUUUCCUACAUGAAGAAAAGUUUUCUUAUAUAAAAACUUACUGCAACUCAGGUUUUGUGUCUCUGUAGAGAGGCACGUAUAUAGGUGUUUUUCUUUGUGCACUUGGUUUUUGCACAGGUAAAUGAGGUUAAACAUUGCCCAGGUAUGCAGGUCAACUGACUUCUGUGGUAGCUGGAUUAAGGAAAGCUUUUGGUGAAUGGACAAAAGAAAUCACAGGCUAUUUCUUUGUAUCUUUCUCUCUUCCCCAGCACUCUACCAGAGAACAUCUCUUAUUGAGUCAGGAAAUCCUAAUUUUUUGGAAAGUCCACAGGAAAACCAAGUUGCAAGUCUCAGGCUGAUAAGAACAUAAAGCAGUUCCCAUGUUUGUUAGGAUGGUUAAUGUAGUUUCAGAGUAUAAUGCUGAAAUAAAUUUUAGACUCCAUACCUGUAGUCUUUCCACUCUUAUUGGUCUUGAAUGUGGGAAAGGCAUCCGUUCAGGGCAGUGAGUGAUGUUGAAUGUUAAGUUCUAUUCCAGGAAAUGUGAUUUUAGCUUUGAUGACGCCUAGUGUCAAUGGAAUGCAAUAAAUGUUUUAUACUGCGUUACGAUGUUUAGGUAUUUUCCUUUAACAUCCUCAGCUGCAUUUUUCUCCUUAAAAACACAAGCCUUACUGUUUUCUUUUGGCAGUGAAGAGAAAGAUAAUUGAUAGGCAGGUAAGCUGUCUCAAAUCCGGGCAAGUUGCUCUUCGUACUGUGUACAGAAAGGACUAAAUGAAGCUUAAGGUCAAUGGCAUGUGAAGGAGCGACUUUUUCCGAGUUAAAAACUCAGAGUAUAAGACCAUAAUGACCUUGAAAGCUGCUUCAUUUUAUGUGCAAAGGAGUCCUAUGAAUCUAUAUUUUAAAUUUACUGAAUCAGUGAAAUUAAUCACUUUGUCAGUUAAUUUGCAAAUGCAAGCUGUAUUCUCCAGUUUCUUUUAUGUAUUGACACUAAUUGGUAAAGGUGUACAAUGUGAUUAGAAUGCAUUUGAAAAUGCUUUCUGUACAGAUACAAAAUACAGGGACUACAAUAAUGCUGUGCAGUGUAUAGCAGAGCCAUUUUUCGGCUUUGGUGUACUCAACUUUUUCAGUAUUUAAAAACGUGUUUUGAAUAACCUAAAAGUCUCUUUAUUGUAUAAAUAAUAAAAUGUCACCUUAUUGUAAA